AUCUUUUCUGUGGUCUUCUCCCUCUGGCCCCUCAGCUAGGAAAAUGUGCCAUGCCCCGUGUGUGGACACGGCCCCAGUUUUUUCUUGCUUUAGAAUAAUCACAGUCCUGCGCCACGUGUUUUCCAAUGACUGAAUACGGUUGUCUCCUAUAUUCUACUUUUUUGGUUGCUUUUACUUGUAUAGAGCAACACAGCGAAGACUAUUGGGUUCUGUGAAGUGAUCACGUCACAGAGCAGCUGGCUAUGGGGGGUGGAAAAUACCUCAGAGAAACCUGGCCGCCUCUGUUCUUUCACUAAUGCUGUCAUGUGCCCAGUAAUCAUCUGCUCCUUGAUCCUCUGGCUCCUGAGUGCAGGCACCCUUGAUGCAGAAGUCACCCAGACUCCGGGACACCUAGUCAAAGGGAAAGGACAGAAAGCAGAAAUGCAUUGUGUCCCGAUAAAGGGACACAGGUAUGUUUCCUGGUAUCAGCAGAUCCCAGCAAAAGAGUUCAAGUUCUUGACUUCUUUCCAGGAUGGCAACAUCUUUGAUAAAACAGGAAUGCCCAAGAAGAGAUUUUUAGCUGUGUGUCCCCAAACCUCACCCUGUAGCCUAGAGAUCAAGCCUACAGAGCUGCAGGAUUCAGCUGUGUAUUUCUGUGCCAGCAGUGAAUCCACAGUGUUAAAUAUUAGCUAA